rnacentral:rRNA from 1 species
CCUACGGGCGGCAGCAGUGAGGAAUAUUGGUCAAUGGUCGGGAGACUGAACCAGCCAAGCCGCGUGAGGGAAGAAGGUACAGCGUAUCGUAAACCUCUUUUGUCAGGGAACAAAGGCGGGGACUAGUCCCCGGAUGAGUGUACCUGAAGAAAAAGCAUCGGCUAACUCCGUGCCAGCAGCCGCGGUAAUACGGAGGAUGCGAGCGUUAUCCGGAUUUAUGGGGUUAAAAGGGUGCGCAGGCGGUCUGUUAAGUCAGCGGUCAAAGCCCGGGGCUCAACCCCGGCGAGCCGUUGAAACUGGCAGGCUAGAGUUGGAGAGAAGUACGCGGAAUGCGCGGUGUAGCGGUGAAAUGCAUAGAUAUCGCGCAGAACUCCGAUGGCGAAGGCAGCAUGCCGGCUCCACACUGACGCUGAGGCACGAAAGCGUGGGUAUCGAACAGGAUUAGAUACCCCUGUAGUC